rnacentral:lncRNA from 1 species
AUCUCUUUCUGGAGAUCCCUCCCUGGUGGAGCUUUCCCCUGUGAACCUGGCAUCUUCUGUAAUAGAGCAGACUGAAAGACAGCGCACCUCAGGAUGAGAGGCACUACAUACCUUGUCCUCCACAUUGCUCAGGAACCAGGACUGCAUUCCUGUUGGCCUCACGAACAGGCUGAAUUAUUGCAUAACACCCAGUGGAGGCACAGUUCCACAGGUGAAGGCAAAACAGCAGCAGUGGGUACUAACAAAACGUUUUUAAUACCGCCUUGCCAACCUGCCCUCAGCCUACACCUGGGGAGCACUGCUGAGGGGCAGCACAGACACUCUACCAGCCUUUUGCCACCAUGACCAAGGAUUUAAUGGAGACUCUACUGGUCAGCUGCCCAUGCACCACUUAUAGAUGUUAACAGGAAGACCCCUGCAGAGGGGCUAUCCAGGAAGAGCAGAAUUCACUAGGUGUGCUGAGCCCUGUCAGAAGCUACCCUGACAAUCCAGCCCAGGAGAAAAUGAGUCUGGACCCCUCAGCAGGAUUUAUCACGAGCCAUGAGACUCAAUUCAACACUACAUGCUUUGUUGUUUCCCCUGCUUCUACCCCCUGUGGAUGCUAGCACUUCUACCUUUAUGGAGUACAGUUCUCCACAUGUCCUGACCUUCAACUUUACAAUUUAACUGUAGUUAAAACACAAAGGAUUCCUGGCUGCUAGUUUUGGCUUCUAGUUCCAGAGAAAGACAGAAGCUACAUACUUCACUCUGUGGCUGGGCUAGAGUUGAUAGUUUGCUUCAUGGCUGUUGUCCAUAAAGCCUAUCAAAACUGGUUAUAUUCUGGCUCUCAUCUGGAUAGGUGUUAGAUAUGUAUGUGUCAGGCAACUCUCAUAAAAGAAAUGCAAGAUAAGGGGCAAGUCUGUGGUGUGCUGAAUACACUGAUUUCUGUGAUUCUUUGAAAGCAUAAAACUGUGGUCUGUGUUAAUGGUGUACAAACAGAAGCAGACAUAUUCUGUCCGGUGGUACCACACAGUAUUAAUGAUCUUUCACACCUUUAGAGAAACUUUUUGUAUCUAUACAACCAAAGUAUCCCAGCCCCCCCUUGACUGUGCCAGUGUUCAUCUAACUUGAGAGAAAGCAAACAUGUAUGGAUAGCUAGGGUAAUAUUUUUCACUAUCACAAGAGAUUCUUAAGUUUAGACAGUUUUCACAUAAACAUGAUUUUAUAAGUUGCCUAUGACCCAGAAACAUAACAUUUUAGUAAGUGAAGCCCUUCACUUCAUAUACUAGAGCACUUAAUUACCCUUUCAGCAAAAUUGAUUGUAGCAAGAAUGUGUCGUCAUCAUCAUCCCCCCCCCCCCCUUAGAAAAAGAAAACAACUUUUAGCCAAAUAAAAUUAAGAAACUAAUAAAUUCCAGCAGCAAUUAAG